UGGCAGCCAUGCCGCGUGUAUGGAAGAAGGCCUUCGGGUUGUAAAGGUACUUUCAGCAGUGAGGAAGGUGGGGUAUGUUAAUAGCAUAUUCAUUUGACGUUAGCUGCAGAAGAAGCACCGGCUAACUCCGUGCCAGCAGCCGCGGUAAUACGGAGGGUGCGAGCGUUAAUCGGAAUUACUGGGCGUAAAGCGCAUGCAGGUGGUUGUUAAGUCAGAUGUGAAAGCCCGGGGCUCAACCUCGGAAUUGCAUUUGAAACUGGCAAACUAGAGUACUGUAGAGGGGGUAGGAAUUUCAGGUGUAGCGGUGAAAUGCGUAGAGAUCUGAAGGAAUACCGGUGGCGAAGGCGGCCCCCUGGACCAGAUACUGACACUCAGAUGCGAAAGCGUGGGGAGCAAACAGGAUUAGAUACCCUCGGUAG
rnacentral:rRNA from 1 species